rnacentral:rRNA from 1 species
AUACGUAGGUGGCAAGCGUUGUCCGGAAUUAUUGGGCGUAAAGCGCGCGCAGGUGGUUCCUUAAGUCUGAUGUGAAAGCCCCCGGCUCCACCGGGGAGGGUCAUUGGAAACUGGGGAACUUGAGUGCAGAAGAGGAUGGUGGAAUUCCAAGUGUAGCGGUGAAAUGCGUAGAGAUUUGGAGGAACACCAGUGGCGAAGGCGACUGUCUGGUCUGUAACUGACACUGAGGCGCGAAAGCGGGGGGAGCAAACAGGAUUAGAUACCCUGGUAGUCCACGCCGUAAACGAUGAGUGCUAAGUGUUGGGGGGUUUCCGCCCCUCAGUGCUGCAGCUAACGCAUUAAGCACUCCGCCUGGGGAGUACGGUCGCAAGACUGAAACUCAAGGGAAUUGACGGGG